UAAAGCCUUCUUCCAUGUGAAAGUCAGCUUUUAUGAGGUGGGUAUGAAGCAAUCUAGUCAAACCCUGGUCUGCACAAAGGCAGUGGGUGCCAAUACUCCCCUUUUCCUGGGAGCAGGAUCAUUGCUUUAGCCAGUAACAGUCUCCCAAUAAAGGGCAUGAAACUGUGCAAGAAGAGAGAAGAAACAAGUUGUGAAGUCAUAUACAACAAAGUAAUUCCUCUUAGUUCAGGUGUGCCUCUAGAAGCAGGCAGCACAGGGAACAAAAAUACACUUAACAAAGGCCACCACAAACCACUCCAGUAAUCUCAAGAUGCUCGAUUUGGACCCCAUCCUAUUCUCUUUCCCAGCACAGAGUCUACUAGGAAAGCCGGGAGACCGCACCCUGGUUAGAGCCGGCAGAGAGAGGAGAGCCGCACAGAUCACCCCCUCCAAGCGCUGCUCAGAAUGGCUUUUUCCCUGCAGGUCACAUUCCUUCACCAGUCAACCUGUCUGUCCCAUGAAUAGCAUCAAAGGAACGCUGUGCUGUUUGAAGAGAGCCACUGAGCAUAUGUAAUGGAAAAAGAAAACAGGCAUCACUUAAAGAAAGGCCAGGCAGUGUGAUCAAAUCAGAGUUGGAAAGAAUGAAGGUCUCCCUAGAUGUC